rnacentral:lncRNA from 1 species
ACAAUUCAAAAGCGAUUAAAAUAACCCCCAAAAAGAAAAAGUAACAGAGAACAAAAAGAUAAAGAUACUAUGAAUAGAACGUGUAACCCACCAAAAUAAGAUAAUAAUAAAUCAAAAUAAAAUAAGUUAAAAAUAAAGUACAAAUAUUAAACCAAAAAAAAUAAUACUAAAUAAUUUUUAAAACAUACUAAAGUAAAAUCAUUUGCUAGAAUGCUCACAAGAGGAUUCGAACACAUGAC